rnacentral:rRNA from 1 species
UACGUAGGGUGCAAGCGUUGUCCGGAAUUAUUGGGCGUAAAGAGCUCGUAGGCGGUUUGUCGCGUCGAAUGUGAAAACCCGGGGCUCAACCCCGGGCCUGCAUUCGAUACGGGCAGACUAGAGUUCGGUAGGGGAGUCUGGAAUUCCUGGUGUAGCGGUGAAAUGCGCAGAUAUCAGGAGGAACACCGGUGGCGAAGGCGGGUCUCUGGGCAGUAACUGACGCUGAGGAGCGAAAGCCAGGGGAGCGAACGGG